GGGCAGUUAGCUCAGUUGGUUAGAGCGCCUGCCUUACAAGCAGGAGGUCGCAGGUUCGAGUCCUGCACUGCCCACCA
rnacentral:tRNA from 1 species